rnacentral:rRNA from 1 species
UACGGAGGGGCUAGCGUUGUUCGGAAUUACUGGGCGUAAAGCGCACGUAGGCGGCUUUGUAAGUUAGAGGUGAAAGCCCGGGGCUCAACUCCGGAAUUGCCUUUAAGACUGCAUCGCUAGAAUUGUGGAGAGGUAAGUGGAAUUCCGAGUGUAGAGGUGAAAUUCGUAGAUAUUCGGAAGAACACCAGUGGCGAAGGCGACUUACUGG